UACGGGGGGGGCAAGCGUUGUUCGGAAUUACUGGGCGUAAAGGGCUCGUAGGCGGCCAACUAAGUCAGACGUGAAAUCCCUCGGCUUAACCGGGGAACUGCGUCUGAUACUGGAUGGCUUGAGUUCGGGAGAGGGAUGUGGAAUUCCAGGUGUAGCGGUGAAAUGCGUAGAUAUCUGGAGGAACACCGGUGGCGAAGGCGGCAUCCUGGACCGACACUGACGCUGAUGAGCGAAAGCCAGGGGGAGCAAACGGG
rnacentral:rRNA from 1 species